GACGAACGCUGGCGGCGUGCCUAAUACAUGCAAGUAGAACGCUGAAGGAGGAGCUUGCUUCUCUGGAUGAGUUGCGAACGGGUGAGUAACGCGUAGGUAACCUGCCUGGUAGCGGGGGAUAACUAUUGGAAACGAUAGCUAAUACCGCAUAAUAGUAGAUGUUGCAUGACAUUUGCUUAAAAGGUGCAAUUGCAUCACUACCAGAUGGACCUGCGUUGUAUUAGCUAGUUGGUGGGGUAACGGCUCACCAAGGCGACGAUACAUAGCCGACCUGAGAGGGUGAUCGGCCACACUGGGACUGAGACACGGCCCAGCCUCCUACGGGAGGCAGCAGUAGGGAAUCUUCGGCAAUGGACGGAAGUCUGACCGAGCAACGCCGCGUGAGUGAAGAAGGUUUUCGGAUCGUAAAGCUCUGUUGUAAGAGAAGAACGAGUGUGAGAGUGGAAAGUUCACACUGUGACGGUAUCUUAACAGAAAGGGACGGCUAACUACGUG
rnacentral:rRNA from 1 species